rnacentral:lncRNA from 1 species
CCGCUCGACGGAGAACAUGCUCGCAGAGAUGAACACGGUAUGCAAGUUCAAUAAGUACGGAUUUGAAAAACCAUAUUGAAUUUGACAAGAUAAACCGUCUAGAUAAGGGUAGCAUCAUUCUUAAACUGCUACAAGGAUACAUACUAUAUAUGACACAUAUGACAUACUAAUUUUUUUCUCAUAAUUAAUAUUGAAAUCCUCUCCAUUCUACCUCACAUUUACUCUUCAUUCUCCCUUACAUUCUAGCCCAAAAUCCUCUCCAUUUUCUACUUCACGUUCUAGCAAAUAAACUAUCCAUCUCCAUUCUACACACCAAGUUAUUUUUAACUAAUACGAAUCGUAUAUAACAAACAAACUAUCCAUCGCAUUCUAGCU